GGAUGCGAUCAUACCAGCACUAAUGCACCGGA
rnacentral:rRNA from 2 species